GAUGAACGCUGGCGGCGUGCCUAAUACAUGCAAGUCGAACGAAACUUCUUUAUCACCGAGCGCUUGCACUCACCGAUAAAGAGUUGAGUGGCGAACGGGUGAGUAACACGUGGGCAACCUGCCCAAAAGAGGGGGAUAACACUUGGAAACAGGUGCUAAUACCGCAUAACCAUAGUUACCGCAUGGUAACUAUGUAAAAGGUGGCUAUACUACCGCUUUUGGAUGGGCCCGCGGCGCAUUAGCUAGUUGGUAGGGUAAAGGCUUACCAAGGCAAUGAUGCGUAGCCGAAUUGAGAGGUUGAUCGGCCACAUUGGGACUGAGACACGGCCCAAACUCCUACGGGAGGCAGCAGUAGGGAAUCUUCCGCAAUGGGCGAAAGCCUGAUGGAGCAACGCCGCGUGGGUGAAGAAGGUCUUCGGAUCGUAAAACCCUGUUGUUAGAGAAGAAAGUGCGUGAGAGUAACUGUUCACGUUUCGACGGUAUCUAACCAGAAAGCCACGGCUAACUACGUG
rnacentral:rRNA from 1 species